UACGGGGGGGGCGAGCGUUGUUCGGAAUCACUGGGCGUAAAGGGCGCGUAGGCGGGAUGGCAAGUCGGUCGUGAAAUCCUUCGGCUCAACCGAAGAACGUCGGCCGAUACUGCCGUUCUUGAGGGAUGCAGAGGAGAUUGGAAUUCCCGGUGUAGCGGUGAAAUGUGUAGAGAUCGGGAGGAACACCGGUGGCGAAGGCGGGUCUCUGGGCAUCUCCUGACGCUGAGGCGCGAAAGCGUGGGGAGCAAACGGG
rnacentral:rRNA from 1 species